CGUAUUUCCGUUGAAUCCUUUGAUCCUGUUAGUCCUUUCCAAUAGAUAAUUCCAAAGACGUAACAUGAUUGGGCCCCGUCACAACUGAUACUUGUAAACAAAUCCAUCUGAAAAAAUGACCGUUGGCGCCGGUAUAGUUAUAUUAGUUAUUCCCGCGCAUGUCUAUAGUUUGCAAAGCCAUGCCGCUGCUGAAAAAAUUGUGUUUAAUAAAUAGAUUUAACAAUAAAUAAUCUAAAUUCAAGUUUACAUUUAUCUAAUAAUAACACACCACGCAAUGUUUAACGCGAGUGCAUGUAAUAAAACUGCAGUAAAAUGAAAAUAUAACCUUGCCAAAUAAUAUGUUUGACCUUACAAUCUCGGUUCAGUGCAAUAAGGACCAUAAAUACCAUUGCUGAUUACUUAUCCCAGGAUAUAUGUUUAUCACUUGAAUUAAAUGGAGAUUACCAGCAUUCAAAAUUUUAUUAUUUAUUCAAGCGAGUGCUGCCACCUAGCGACGAUGUCUUUCACUUGCUUCCGACAAAAUAUAAAAUUUAUGAUGUGACGUAGCAGUGCGACCUACAGUAAUAUAAUACAAUAUUAUAGUCAAGUCUGAAGAAUUAAAUUGUCAACUGAAAGGCACUUGACCUGCAAAGACAAACUAAACGCACUAUUCAAAGUCAUAAAUACAUCCAAACAAUAAUAAACUUCAAUUGAAUAAAACGAUAUGCAUUUAAGUACUUUUUAUUAGUACACAGUACAUAACAUGUUAUUUUUUUUAACAUCUAUUGUGUAGCCGUCAAUUAAUUAUCAAUUAAAGAUUAUUAUUUGUUUUUAAUCAUCCAGGCAAUUUUAAACGUAUUAUUAGACAUAAAAUCAAUGUCAUAAAAAUUCCUUUAAAAUACUUAAAUGUUAUAGUAAUGGUAAGAAAUCAUAAUUAAUUUUUUUUAUCAAUAAUUACUCAAUAAUUGACGUAUAGCAACUGCGUAAAUAAAUUUUUUGGUAGUUUCUAGAAAAUACAAAAGAUUAAUAAAAAAAUUAGUCAUUGAAUAAACAUAAUUGAUCAACAAAUGGAUUUACGUAUAGACCAAACACUAGCUUAAAAGGAUAUGCUGAUAUCGCAAUAUCAACUUUGAGACGAGGCUAAAAUGUAUAAAAACAUUGACGCCACACCGUAGAUAUGGCAACACCGCGUUUCUCUCGCGUGAGGUCACCAAUACCACCAACUAAAGUGUUCUAGCUAUCCUUGUUGCUCUUUCAUUUUAUUUCUCAGUAUCUAUCUACCUAGCUGGGCUCUUUCUUGCUACUCGAUAGUGCUCUCACCAUACCACUGUAUUCUUGAAUUCUACCAUCAAAUCCAGCGUCAAUUAGUCUCCGAAAGAGUUUAACUUGUAUAGCUGUUCAUACUCAGAGUUUGAACAGAGCACCAAGCCCAUUAUUGCUGGCUUGAUGCUUUCUUUCUCCUUAUGUACACAUAAACUACCAUACUAUAUACUCUCCCAGAUAAAAAGUCACAUCAUGCAUAGUGUGAGUUUAAAAUUUUUCUAUAGUAACCUUUUUAACAUCAAAUAUUACUGUACCUAAGCAUUAUAUUUUGAAUAGAAAAUACAUCCGCGUUGGUUGUUAACUCUCGUAAAUGUAAGAAACUAAAUCAAGGUAAUACAAUCGUAAAGAUCGAGGGGCCACGAAGCGUGGGAAUCACUUGUCCCGUUGACUCAAUCUCUUCCCCCAUUACUUUUUGCUAUAUAUUUAUAUAAAUAGAUAAAUAGAUACUGAGAUAUCUUUUAAAUUAAAUUUCUUUAACGAAACAUGUCCAAGCCAAUCAUUUUAAAAACUUCAAUCGUGCUUUUAAUGGCUAUUCCUCUGUUAUUUUUUCAUUUUGGAGUCCAAUAAAAUUCAACUAGCUUUUGCUGAUGGAAUAAUGCGGUCAGAAUGGCCAGCAAAGGGCGUACCAAACAGAUAUAUGUGUACGUAAGUUAACGUAUGCAUUCAUCUGCAUGUUUGUAUGAAA